AUUCCAGCUCCAAUAGCGUAUAUUAAAGUUGUUGCAGUUAAAACGCUCGUAGUCGGAUUUCGGGGCCUGCCUGCCGGUCUGCCGAUGGGUAUGCACUGGCAGGCGCGUCCUUCCUUCCGGAGACUGUCCCUACUCUUAACUGAGCGGGGUCGGGAGACGGAUCGUUUACUUUGAAAAAAUCAGAGUGUUUCAAGCAGGCAGCUCGCUCUUGCAUGGAUUAGCAUGGGAUAAUGAAAUAGGACUUUGGUGCUAUUUUGUUGGUUUCGAACACCGAAGUAAUGAUUAACAGGGACAGUCAGGGGCACUCGUAUUCCGCCGAGAGAGGUGAAAUUCUCAGACCAGCGGAAGACGAACCACUGCGAAAGCAUUUGCCAGGGAUGUUUUCAUUA
rnacentral:rRNA from 1 species